rnacentral:rRNA from 1 species
UACGAAGUGCCCCCAAGCGGUUUAUCCGGAAAUCUUUGGGCCGUAAAAGUAGCGGCGCAAGGGCGGCUUUGGCAAGUUCGGGGUGUGAAAUCCCCGGGGGGCUCAAACCCCGGGACUGCAUUUCGGAUACUGUCAGGCUAGGAGGUAGGUAGGGGAGAGUCGGAAUUCCUGGUCGUAGCGGUGGAAAUGCGCAGAUAUCGAGGAGGAACACCGGUGGUGUAAACGGCUUUCUGGACCAUAACUGACGCUGAGGCAACGGAAAGCGUGGGUAGCAAACAGG